GACGAACGCUGGCGGCGUGCUUAACACAUGCAAGUCGAACGGAAAGGCCCUGCUUUUGUGGGGUGCUCGAGUGGCGAACGGGUGAGUAACACGUGAGUAACCUGCCCUUGACUUUGGGAUAACUUCAGGAAACUGGGGCUAAUACCGGAUAGGAGCUCCUGCUGCAUGGUGGGGGUUGGAAAGUUUCGGCGGUUGGGGAUGGACUCGCGGCUUAUCAGCUUGUUGGUGGGGUAGUGGCGUACCAAUGCAUUGACGGGUAGCCGGCCUGAGAGGGUGACCGGCCACAUUGGGACUGAGAUACGGCCCAGACUCCUACUGGAGGCAGCAGUGGGGAAUAGUGCACAAUGGGCGGAAGCCUGAUGCAGCAACGCCGCGUGCGGGAUGACGGCCUUCGGGUUGUAAACCGCUUUCGCCUGUAACGAAGCGUGAGUGACGGUAAUGGGUAAAGAAGCACCGGCUAACUACGUG
rnacentral:rRNA from 1 species